CCUGAGACCUGAUGCCGAGCCGAUUGUGGUGAAGUGGAUGAUCCUAUGCUGUCGAGAAAAGCCUCUAGCGAGUUUCAUGGCGGCCCGUACCCUAAACCGACUCAGGUGGUCUGGUAGAGAAUACCGAGGCGUUCGGGUGAACUAUGGUUAAGGAACUCGGCAAAAUGCCCCCGUAACUUCGGGAGAAGGGGGGCCACACCUGGUGAUCACUUUUGCAGUGUGAGCUGGGGGUGGCCGCAGAGACCAGCGAGAAGCGACUGUUUACUAAAAACACAGGUCCGUGCGAAGCCGUAAGGCGAUGUAUACGGACUGACGCCUGCCCGGUGCUGGAACGUUAAGGGGACCGGUUAGCUGACUUUCGGGUUGGCGAAGCUGAGAACUUAAGCGCCAGUAAACGGCGGUGGUAACUAUAACCAUCCUAAGGUAGCGAAAUUCCUUGUCGGGUAAGUUCCGACCUGCACGAAUGGCGUAACGACUUCUCGACUGUCUCAACCAUAGGCCCGGUGAAAUUGCAUUACGAGUAAAGAUGCUCGUUUCGCGCAGCAGGACGGAAAGACCCCGGGACCUUUACUACAGUUUGAUAUUGGUGUUCGGUUCGGCUUGUGUAGGAUAGGUGGGAGACUGUGAAGCGGCCACGCCAGUGGUUGUGGAGUCGUUGUUGAAAUACCACUCUGGUCGUGCUGGAUGUCUAACCCGGGUCCGUGAUCCGGAUCGGGGACAGUGUCUGAUGGGUAGUUUAACUGGGGCGGUUGCCUCCUAAAGAGUAACGGAGGCGCCCAAAGGUUCCCUCAGCCUGGUUGGUAAUCAGGUGGUGAGUGUAAGUGCACAAGGGAGCUUGACUGUGAGACCGACGGGUCGAGCAGGGACGAAAGUCGGGACUAGUGAUCCGGCGGUGGCUUGUGGAAGCGCCGUCGCUCAACGGAUAAAAGGUACCCCGGGGAUAACAGGCUGAUCUUCCCCAAGAGUCCAUAUCGACGGGAUGGUUUGGCACCUCGAUGUCGGCUCGUCGCAUCCUGGGGCUGGAGUCGGUCCCAAGGGUUGGGCUGUUCGCCCAUUAAAGCGGUACGCGAGCUGGGUUUAGAACGUCGUGAGACAGUUCGGUCCCUAUCCGCUGUGCGCGUAGGAAUAUUGAGAAGGGCUGUCCCUAGUACGAGAGGACCGGGACGGACGAACCUCUGGUGUGCCAGUUGUUCUGCCAAGGGCAUGGCUGGUUGGCUACGUUCGGGAGGGAUAACCGCUGAAAGCAUCUAAGCGGGAAGCCUGCUUCGAGAUGAGUAUUCCCACCUCCUUGAGAGGGUAAGGCUCCCAGUAGACGACUGGGUUGAUAGGCCGGAUAUGGAAGCCCUGUAAGGGGUGGAGUUGACCGGUACUAAUAGGCCGAGGGCUUGUCCUC
rnacentral:rRNA from 2 species